ACACACUACCACAGAACAUCUACUUUUUCAUGACACAAUUUACUGCCUUAUGUUCUAAUUCAGAAUUUUUUUUCCUCUAGAUUUGGAAGCUCCUGUGAAAGGUCAUUCAUUCAGAUUUAAGCUGGUGGGUUUUGUUUGGCUCCUGCUUGCUUGACACAACCAAAAAGAAAGUACUCACGAGAGAGUGUUCUGAGUGAGGAAAGAGAUCAGUGGUGACAAAAAAUUAUCUAGAGCUGCAAUAGUAAAGAAAAUUUCAGUUUUGUAGAAAACAGCCAAAUAAUCCCCUCAUCAUUCAGCAGGGUGCUGCUACCUUAAAAAGGAUUUCAGACAUGAUAAGGAGCUAAAAUUUCCUAAUUACUUCCCAUAUUACUCGUAGGAAGGCUUUAGGCUGUCAAGAAUCAGGAGUUAGUGGAUUGGAGCUUCUGCAACAGUUCCCAGUAAUAAUCUUUAGAAAGGUUUAACUUUGCAGCAACAAGGGAAGGUAGCUGAAUAGAGGACAUGGUCAAAAGAAACCUACUCAAGUGAAUUGGCAGGAAUAAUAUAAG